rnacentral:rRNA from 1 species
CAGGGCUUGAAAUGAGUAGGACAGUCUGUGAAAGCAGAUCUCCCUUCGGGGUCUAUUUAUAGGUGUUGCAUGGUUGUCGUCAGCUCGGGCCGUGAGGUGUUGGGUUAAGUCCCGCAACGAGCGCAACCCUUGUUUAUAGUUGCCAUCAUUUAGUUGGGCACUCUAUAGAGACUGCCAGCGUUAAGCUGGAGGAAGGUGGGGAUGACGUCAAAUCAUCACGGCCCUUAUGUCCUGGGCUACACACAUGCUACAAUGGGUAGUACAAAGGGUUACGAAGCAGUGAUGUGGAGUUAAUCUCAAAAAGCUAUCCUCAGUUCGGAUUGUAGGCUGAAACCCGCCUACAUGAAGUUGGAAUCGCUAGUAAUCGCAGGUCAGCCAUAGUGCGGUGAAUACGUUCUCGGUCCUUGUACACACCGCCCGU